rnacentral:rRNA from 1 species
UGGGGAAUAUUGGACAAUGGGGGCAACCCUGAUCCAGCCAUGCCGCGUGAGUGAAGAAGGCCCUAGGGUUGUAAAGCUCUUUCACCCGUGACGAUGAUGACGGUAGCGGGAGAAGAAGCCCCGGCUAACUCCGUGCCAGCAGCCGCGGUAAUACGGAGGGGGCAAGCGUUGUUCGGAAUUACUGGGCGUAAAGGGCGCGCAGGCGGUCAGUCGCGUCAGAUGUGAAAGCCCCGGGCUCAACCUGGGAUGUGCAUUUGAUACGGGCUGGCUAGAACCCGGGAGAGGGUGGUGGAAUUCCCAGUGUAGAGGUGAAAUUCGUAGAUAUUGGGAAGAACACCGAUGGCGAAGGCAGCCACCUGGACCGGUGUUGACGCUGAGGCGCGAAAGCGUGGGGAGCAAACA